UACGAAGGGGGCUAGCGUUGUUCGGAAUUACUGGGCGUAAAGCGCACGUAGGCGGAUACUUAAGUUAGGGGUGAAAUCCCAGAGCUCAACUCUGGAACUGCCUCUAAUACUGGGUAUCUCGAGUUCGAGAGAGGUGAGUGGAAUUCCGAGUGUAGAGGUGAAAUUCGUAGAUAUUCGGAGGAACACCAGUGGCGAAGGCGGCUCACUGGCUCGAUACUGACGCUGAGACACGAAAGCGUGGGGAGCAAACAGG
rnacentral:rRNA from 1 species